UGCGAUUGCAGGGAUCUGUAUGGGAAGUGAUGUUGCCAAUGAAGACGUUGCUUGAGCAUUGCGCAGAAGGACAAAUAGACCAGUUGGUAGGUUUGAGUUCGGAUUGCUCGCAUUGUAAUCUAAAUACAAAAUCAACAUAACAAAUGACAUCACACGUAUAUAUAAUAAUACCAACAGAACACAAAUUAAAGUAGUAACAUAAUAUGUGAAAAACAAAUGGGGGCACUCACAUGUAGUUGUUGCUGGAGUCACACUUGCAUUUGACGCAUUCGUUGGCAGUAUAGGCGUAAGAAGAAUUUGCAACAAGCAAUGGAUAAUCCAAUGAUUCAUUUUUCACACUCGAGGAACAAGCUGCCACAACCAACAAAUUCAAUCACCCCAACAUAUAAAUUCGUCCUUAUCUCUCAUCUACGCCACUAAGUGAUUACACAAAGCUACAAUUGCUCGGAUAGGAUUCUAAAUUCUCUUACAUCAUCCUUCUACUAAUUGUUUGUUUUAUAUGCUAAAUAUUAUUUUUUAUUAUACUUUUAAGAUUACAAAUCAGAACUUGACUGACAUGAUAGACAUUAUCAUGUGUUUGAAGAUUCUAGAAAUAAACAUUUUUCAUAGUAUAUAAAAAUAAACAUCGAUUUUAUAAAAUUAAGUAGGCUUAAAUCCGUUUAAUACCGAUAACAAAGAGUUUAUCUUUAUUCCAUGGAAAUAAAUGAUGAAUAUAUAUAAAAAACUGAUCAGUCAAAACAAUUCGUCUCUUUCUGUAUAACUGUUUGAAAAUUAUUCAAAAAAUCAAUUAUUAAAAAAAAUACUAUUUUCAAUAGAUUAACAUUAUGGACUUCUAUUGACUUCAUGAAUCAGGUACACGACAACACGUAAAUAAUGGACCAGGAGGUAGCGUAGUCAUGUUUUCUUUGUGUAAAAUAGUGGUAUCGUGUAAUCAGACUUCAAUUUGAAACUCUAUGAAUAAAUUAUCCAACUUAAUUAUACUUACAUAUACACUACGAUUAGAUAAAUCCUAAUAGAUUAACAUUAUCCAGACCCCAAAAAAAAACAAUUUCAACUUUCGUGUAUCUAAUUUACAUAAUAAUUCAUUUGUUUUAAUAAAUUUAAAUCGAAACCUAGCAAAUGGAUCUUUGUAUAAUAAUUUUCUACCCGAAAGUUGUUUGUAUAAAAAAGUAAUAAAGAUGUUUGAAAAAAAUAUAAAUAUAAGAAAAAAAUAGUUAAAUAUAUUUAGCUCUUUUAUAAACUAAAAUCAAUUUAUAGCUUUAAUUUUAGGGAAAUGAAAUGAGAAGUCUUUCUACAAAAAUUAAGUUCACGACGCAGUUUCAAAAAGUUGGGUGGAUGUGGCUUUGAUUUCUUAAGUUUUUUUGAAAAAAUUCGAGGAAUAACUUACAUUUGACAAAAAAAAAUAUAUUUUUUAAGUCCUUAUUACUCUCGUCCAUCUUUCUACAGAUUUUAGAAUUAAUUGACAAUUUAUUUUGUUCUCAUUAAAUAUUAUAAAUAAAUGUGUUUUUUGUAUAAUCAGAAGAUAAUUUUAAAAAAUGAUUAAAUUUGAUAUUAAGAUCACAUACACUAAUUAAAAUGGUAUUCUCGAAAAAUACUUCCAGUUCCUAAAUAACAAAUUCAAGAGACUAAUAUAGCACAGUUUUAAAUACAACUGACUAAAAUAUUUUUUUUAAAAAGUACUUUCAGUUUUUAAACAAUAAAUUUAUGAAACUAAAAUCAUAUAUUUUUAAAUUUUUAAAAAAACUAAGUAAUUUUAAAAAAAUGAAAAGAAAAAAAGUAGAUCGUUUUGAAUUUGAGAAAGUAAAAUCAUAGUUAGUAAGUAGAAAAGGUGGAUGAAAGUUAGAAGGAACAAAAUCAAAAUUAUUGUAGGUUGGGAUUGGGAAUGCGUUUGGAAAGAGGCGCAAUCAUAGUUUGCAUAUGAAGGAAUCGAAAGAGGAAGAGAAUGAGAUGAAAGUGGUAGGUUACCUUGAAGAGGAACAUCAAGAAUCUGACCGGCCUGAAGCGUUUUGGGGUCGGAAAUGCCAUUGAGUGUGAGGAGGAUCUGCUGACUGGUGCCAAAUUGUUCAGCAAUACCCUCCACCGUGCUCUGUGCCGCCACCAGGUGCGCAUAGUGCACCACUCUGCUCCCAUCCACCUCGUCGCAGCUACACGGCAGCGGAAUAUAAAUCGUGGCCCCGGCGGUGAUAUUAUUCUCGUCCGGUAUAUUAUUCGCCGCCGUGAUCUGCGGAUACUUCACAAGACCCCCAAACGUCGUCGUCGCUAUGUUGUACAGCGUGUCGUCCUUUUUUAUCUUAUAAAGCGGAACCCGGUCCGAGAGUCCCGUCCCGUUGAGGCACCUGCACGGCAACGGCACCUUCACAACCUCGCUGGGCCCCACCUCGUGGCGCUUUGUGGUGUUGCUUGGGAGGUUGUUCGCGCCUAGGAUGUCCACAAGUUUCUUCACGUUGAAGAGGGUUUGGAUGUCGCCCAGGGUGGUGCCGUUCACGUGAGAGUACCCAAUCAGGGCGCCACAGGCGGAGUUAUUCGCGCUGUUGCACACGAAUUUGGCCUCCGGUUGGGCCUCUACAGUCGCCACCACCGCGAUUGCUACCACCGCUAUAACUUUGACCAUCCAAACAGCCCCUUUCCCCGCGCCCAUUUUGUUCUAGUG
rnacentral:lncRNA from 1 species